CUCUGCUUCGGCUCCGGCAGCAGCGGCGAGAGCAAGGACGAGCGAAGUAGGACAUCGUUCAGCGGAUGAGAAGCCGAGGGCUUGGAGUAGGGAGGAGGGGCAGGAGGGGCGGGGAGGGAGCGUUCGCCCAGCGUUCGCUGAGCUAAAGGAUGACGAUGUUGCAGCUGGAGGGGUGGAAGUUGGACAACUGGAGAGUCUUCUCGUUGUUCAAAGAAGAAGGAGGAGGGAGUCAAUUAGACUGUAAGAAGUGGAUGAAGGGAGAAUGGGGGCUUUGCUCCUGAAAAGAGACACCCUUUCUAAUAAAAAAAAUGGAAAACUCUUUUCUGGAGGCAGAAUGGGGUGCAAAGGACCGUAGCUACCUCCCUGGAGGCAGCUAUGAUUGGGCAUUGGCUCCUGUGGUGCUCCCACUCCCUGCACAGAGGAGGAGCUGACUUUGCAGCUGGAAGGAUGGAGGUUAGACAGCAGAAUCAUGGGUUAAGCAAAGCAAUUCAGGAAAUCUCUAGACCUGGGGUGGGGGUGGGGUGAGGGUGGCCCUGUGAAGGGACAUUACCAGUCAUGCAAACCAAUGUGCAAAAUGCAGGCGUUGCUGGGAGCCCAGAAGGCCUACUGGCCAGGGCUGUCGAUGCUGAAUGUGCAGCCUGAUGCCAGGGGGUGGGCCUUGAGUGCUGCCCAGCCAGGAACUCCUCAGCGCCCAGAAUACCAAUGACCCUCCUUUCCCCCAGCUCCAGGGCCUCUGCUUCCCUCUCCUUUCCCAGGCUCUCUUUGCUUUUCCCUCCUCCCUCCUGGGACUGUAGGCAAAGCCCCUGGCACGGACAGUGGGCAGGACAGCCAGAUGCCUAGAUUCCCUCCCCUGGAUACCAAUAUUGGCACCAAGGAUAGCUUUGGAGGGCUUUGAUCCUCAUAAUCUCCACAGCAUCUUCAAAAUACCCCAAGUAAAGUAAGGUGCAUUCAAUGCAAAUGCAACCUCAAGGCAGAUCCCCAGCCUUCCAUCUAGACUGCACCCUAGGUCCCUCUUGGGAACUCUGGACUGCUCCCCACUGAAUGUGCCAACGCCCCCACUCACCACUGCCUGGCUUUCACUCCCAGUGCCAUGGACUUGGUUCCAAAGGGCUUUGAGAACCUCACAUAAAAACCCACUCCAAUUGCGCACACACACAGCAACCUAAUCUGCCCAGAUCUCCUGGCCAGGAGGUCAGAGGACCACUGCCCUGGAGAGCUCAUUAUUUGGGAGUAGAGACCUUUCCAGAGGAUUUCUCAGGGGAGGAAAUGGGCACUCUGAGGCUUUUCCAACAUUUCCAGCUGAGAAAAUUUAUACUGAAGGCUAACCUGCAGUUUGAACCAGCAAUUGCUGAUCAGAGACUCUCUUUACAAUUACGGACACUUGGCCAUAUGUGUCUUCCCCCGUUUCUAUUUACUUUCUGAGAGGAGGCAAGAAUCAGCCUCCUCCAGAGGCAAGAACCCCCUCCAGAGGAGGGGCUCUGCCUAGCCCCUCCAGAUCUCAGAAAGAGAUCCCUGGGGAUUGGCUGAAAGCAAACAGAAUCAAUGGCAGCGGGAAGAAUGAAAGUCAGAUUUCAGGUAGAACCUCCUGUCUCAGUAACAGGAGAAAAAUUCCUCCAGUAACCUUGAAUAUCUUCUGAACACGGAAACUGAGACCCAAAGAGGUCAAGCAACUGUCCAGAGUCACACAGCAUGGAACUGGCUGAACCAUGACCAAAAAUCAAGUCUCCUGACUCCCAGGCCAAGGUUCUUGCCAGGGCUCCCCAGAUGUCUAUCAGGGGAGGGAGAAAGAGGGAGGUGGAGAGAAGAAAGAGAGAGAGGGAGAGCGUGGGCAGCUCUCCUCCCUCUCCCACGUGCAGCCCAGCUGGCUGCCUCCCAGUCUCCUGGGCCCUGGGGAAUUUUCCAGCCUCUCUGGAUGAGAACAAUCAAUCUCCUGCCUCCACCGGACCCCCAACAUCCCCCAUCCAUGCCAAAGCUGAGGCCAUGACCCAAGUUGAGAAAAGAGAAUCUGCCCUCCACGCUCCUGCAUCCUGAGUUCCCCCCAUCUCCAGUGUUAGCCUUGGGCCUUCCUCACUGGAUUCUAUUCCACAGUGGCCACUGGGAGAGCCUGUCCUGCCAACCUCCUUGAACACCUGCCCCCUUUCUCCCAGACUUGGAGUGGGGGCCUAGGCAGCUGAGUUCCUCUCCGAGGCCCUGCACGGGCAUCUGGGUCUUGUGCCAUAGGCAUGUGGGAGUAGGGCUGAAGAGGGGGAUGUGGCUCUGAAUGCUGGCACAGCUGUGUUCAGAGAAUGGGGGCUUUGAUAGCUUCUGAAAGAGGCCAGGAAGCACGGGACCCCAGCCCAGGCAGGAGGGGGUGGGGGGCAGAAAUGGCUGAGUGUGGCUCUGAGGGCUCUUGCUGCCGCAGACAGGGAGUGUGGAGUGGGAGGGGAUGUGGAGCAGUAGGGAGACAGCAAUGGGGACUACAGGCUGAACAGCAUCAUCAGAGAGCCCCCCUGCUGCACCAGCAGGAGCCAGCGUCCCCAUGAGCUGGUCAGACCGCGCUUUGAGGGUUGCAAACCCAUGUGUUCAGAGGAGACCAUCAGCUUGUUGCACAAAGAACAGCGGGAGGAACUGGAGGGCUGGAGCCCGAGUACAUCUGAAUUUACCUCUUGAGGUCCCACCAGAAGGCUGCCUGUAGUGCCUCUCCCAGCCUCCUAUGGGGAAGGACCACUCAUUUGUCUGUGAUGUUGGGGCAGGUACUAAUCUCCCUGUGCUUCAGUUUCUUCACCUGUAAAAUGGUAAUAACCCCUUGUUGUAUGGUUUUGAUGUUGGAGCCAUGUAAAUAUUUUAUAUAAUUAAAAUACGAAAUUAAUUAGAGAGAGUUUACAUUAAUUUUAAUUAAAUUAAAAUGAAGAAAAAUGAAGCAAUCCCUAAAAGUAUAAAACAAAUUGUAACAAAU
rnacentral:lncRNA from 1 species